CACGGUACGCAGGGGGACUCGCAUACGAGUUGAGAGGGCCAUCGCAUGGCCCGACCCUUUGAACCUGUUGGUUAACACCAUCGUAGGGAGGCGACGACCAUGGCAU
rnacentral:ncRNA from 2 species